AUACUUACCUGAACGGGGUUUAUGGGUGAUCAAAAAGGCUCAUGACCUAUAUUAAUGGUUCACAUUGCACAUAGUGAAUGUGUUGAUCUACCAUCUCCUUUGGGAGAGUGGACGUCAAAAUUUAUAUUAGAGGGGUACGCGUUCGCGCGGCCCCUGC
rnacentral:snRNA from 2 species